GGGAGGUUAGGAGGCGGAGAGGCUGAGUCCCACGGCGGCGGGUCCAGCCCCGGAACCCAGCACAGCCCUCCCUCGGCCCUUCCCCGCCGUCAGGACGAGGGGCGCUGCCACCCCAGCCGGGACCCUGCGCCUCCCCGCCCCCGAUUCCUCUCAGGACGCGCAAGUCGGCCCCUCCCCACCCACGCCGGGCCGAGCAAGCCGAACGGAAGGCAGGGGCGAGACGAGGGGCCAAAGUUCCCCAGACUAAGACGCCGCGCGCAGCUCUUCCUACACAGCAGCUGCGGCUCCGGGCGAACGCCUGCGCCUCAAAGGAAACGUCUUGGAUGGAUGCUCAACUGCCACCAAAACCGGUGAGGAUAUCGCUCACUUCUGCAUCCUCGGUGUCUACAGAGCGCCUGGCAUAUGGCAGGAGUCUGUGCAAUCUGUGGACAAAAACAUGCUGCCUGACAUUUCAGUAAACAAAGAAUGUUGCCUGCCAUCCUGGUAAACGUUGAAUUCUGCCCAUCGUCAAGCCGUGAGCUGCAGCAGCUGCCAUCCCGGCCACCCCGCGGUGCGCCCUGAGGGGAUUCAGGGUGGGGAAAACAGAAGACCGGCCUCAGGUAGUGAAGAUCCAUCUCAGGGCUUCCCCGGUGGCGCAGUGGUUAAGAAUCCGCCUGCCAAUGCAGGGCACACGGGUUCGAGCCCUGGUCCGGGAAGAUCCCACAUGCCGCAGAGCAACUAAGCCUGUGUGCCACAACUACUGAGCCUGCGCUCUAGAUCCCUCGAGCCACAACUACUGAGCCUGUGUGCCACAACUACUGAGGCCCGUGCACCUAGAGCCUGUGCUCUGCAACGAGAAGCCACCGUAGUGAGGAGCCAGUGCACGGCAAUGAAGAGUUGCCCCUGCUCACUGCAACUAGAGAAAGCCCGCGUGCAGCAACGAAGACCCAAUGCAGCCAAAAAAAUAAAUAAGUAAAUAAAUUUAUUUUUAAAAAAAGAUGCAUAUCAAA